rnacentral:lncRNA from 1 species
UGGACACAUGAAUUGCCCCAAAAUUACAAAUGAAGAUUGGUUUCGAUUGAAGCUCAUUCAAUGUAGCUUGAACAUAACAAAUUUUUUUAAUGAACACAAUACAAUUUCUAGAUGAACAUAACAAAUUUUUUUAAAUGAACAAACAUAAUUUCUAAACGAACAGAACACAAUUCUUCAACGAACAGGAGUUUAGCUGAAAAAUCAAUCUAACAGCCACGAUGCUUUGGUGGUUCAGCCGCCGUAAACUUCAUUGUGCUUCAAUCCUAAAUCUAAUCAACAUCUCGAACAAACCAACAUCUAUGAACACAAAGUCCAUUUGGAAACAGCAUUAGUACACUUCGAACAAACCUCACAACUAUGGACAGAAAGUCCAUUUUCUCAAAGAAAUCAAAAUCUGCAAUAUUAAGGGGAUCAUAGCAAACUACAUUUGGCAGAACAAAAAUCCCCAAAAUAGUUCAAACAGAAUCACAACUAUUUGAACAGACACAUUUAUACAAAGAACACAACAACUAUAAACAGCAAAAUUCCCCAGACGAAAAAAUGCACACCAAAAGGAUUCUCCCAAAAUUCCCAAAUUCCAGAUCUGAAAUUUUGCGUUUCCAAAUUUCUUGAACAAAUCAGAGUUGAAUCUGCCGCCUCCACCGCUGCCAAACCCGACGAAGCCCACCACCUCCAGAUCUGCACAAUCCUCUACCAACAACAAAAUUCCCCAGACGCAAAGCCGAACACCAAAAUCACAAAUCAAUCAAAAUAUGAAAUAGAGAUAAUUAAAACAACAAGAUCUCAACAAUCGUCAUCUCGCCGUACUCCUUGGUCGGCCGCGCACCGAAUUCGGUCACUCCAUCAGCGCUGAAUCAGCCGGCGAAUUCGCUCCCUAUCAUCACGUGGCGGCAGAGGGAGGCGGAAGCGCUUCGCUGCGCCGGAAACGACGAGAGAGAGAGAGAGGAGGGAGAAAAAGACAGAGGGGUGGCUAGGGCAUGGUGAUGGCUCCGCCAGUGCUGUUCAAUCGAGAACACAUGAAAUGGCAGGGGAGCGUGGUCGUGGCAGCAGAGGGGGACGGAAGCACCUCGCCGCGCCGGAAGCGGUUUUGAACAAGAGAGAGGCAUCGGUGAAGAGAGAGA